UAUCCAUAGUAAACCGGCGCACGGGUGAGUAAUAUAUAGGUAAUAUGCCUUUUGGUUUGGAAUAACUCCGCGAAAGCGGUGCUAAUACCGAAUGAUGCAGCGUCUUCACAUGAAGGUGUUGUUAAAGCUUCGGCGCCAAGAGAUUAACCUGUAUCCCAUUAGAUAGUUGGCGAGGUAACGGCUCACCAAGUCUGCGAUGGGUAGCUGAUCUGAGAGGAUGAUCAGCCACACUGGAACUGAGACACGGUCCAGACUCC
rnacentral:rRNA from 1 species